rnacentral:rRNA from 1 species
ACAGGAUUAGAUACCCUGGUAGUCCACGCCGUAAACGAUGUCUACUUGGAGGUUGUGGCCUUGAGCCGUGGCUUUCGGAGCUAACGCGUUAAGUAGACCGCCUGGGGAGUACGGUCGCAAGAUUAAAACUCAAAUGAAUUGACGGGGGCCCGCACAAGCGGGGAGCAUGUGGUUUAAUUCGAUGCAACGCGAAGAACCUUACCUACUCUUGACAUCCAGAGAAGCCAGCGGAGACGCAGGUGUGCCUUCGGGAGCUCUGAGACAGGUGCUGCA